rnacentral:miRNA from 1 species
CAGUGCCAGGAAAACUGCCCUGUUUUCAUGGCACUGGAGCAUCCCUUUAAAGGGAAACUCCAGUGCCAGGAAAACAAUGCAUUUUCCUGGCACUGCAGGUAC